GCUCACUUCAGCAGCGCAUAUAAUGAAAUUGGAACGAUACAAAGAAGAUUAACAUGGCCCUUACACAAGGUUGACAUGAAAGUUUGUGAAGAGAUCCGUAGUUUU